GAUUGUUUAAGACACUUGGUGUACCCAAUGGAUAGACCUAUUUCUUCUUUUGCAAGAUUUGUCAAAUUUUCUAGAGAAAGACACUUUAGAUGUUGCGAGUGAGAAACGCUGAUUGGGAGAUGCAUCAGGUCCUUCCAGCCUUCUAUAUAUAAACGUUCAAUCCUAGUGCAGCAUCCAUUAAUACAGUCACUGA